UGUCAGGCUAUGGAGGAAGUUCACUCUCCUAUCUAAGUGAAAUGCCCAGUACACAGGAAGAGGAGCUUAGCUACCACAAGUAGAAGCAUGACAUACAAUAAGAUAAGUAGAGAGGGAUAGCAGCUGACUAGCAGGACUAGGAGCCAUCAUAAUGGCAGCAUGAUUCAGGAAUGUCGUUAUAUGGAAGGCCCACAAUAAAACCCUAAGCCAAGCCACUUUGUGUUCCCUGAACUUCUGUUUGUGAGGUAGGGAGAAGGAGGGAGCAGCUGUCCCUUUACGAACACGGUGGAAUAGGAGAAGGAUUGAAGAUGCUCCACCUGAACUGUCUCAAAAUUCU